GUCCUUGGCGGACUUCAAAUCCAGCGCGACCAUGCCG
rnacentral:tRNA from 1 species